GACGAACGCUGGCGGCGUGCUUAACACAUGCAAGUCGAACGGAAAGGCCCUGCUUUUGUGGGGUGCUCGAGUGGCGAACGGGUGAGUAACACGUGAGUAACCUGCCCUUGACUUUGGGAUAACUUCAGGAAACUGGGGCUAAUACCGGAUAGGAGCUCCUGCUGCAUGGUGGGGGUUGGAAAGUUUCGGCGGUUGGGGAUGGACUCGCGGCUUAUCAGCUUGUUGGUGGGGUAGUGGCUUACCAAGGCUUUGACGGGUAGCCGGCCUGAGAGGGUGACCGGCCAAGUUGGGACUGAGAUACGGCCCAGACUCCUACGGGGGGCAGCAGUGGGGAAUAUUGCACAAUGGGCGGAAGCCUGAUGCAGCAACGCCGCGUGCGGGAUGACGGCCUUCGGGUUGUAAACCGCUUUCGCCUGUGACGAAGCGUGAGUGACGGUAAUGGGCAAAGAAGCACCGGCUAACUACGUG
rnacentral:rRNA from 1 species